rnacentral:rRNA from 1 species
GGAGUUAGCCGGUGCUUCUUCUGUGAGUGAUGUCCUUCCUGCCGGCUAUUAACCCGCAGGCCUUCUUCCUCACUGAAAGUGCUUUACAACCCGAAGGCCUUCUUCACACACGCGGCAUGGCUGGAUCAGGGUUGCCCCCAUUGUCCAAUAUUCCCCAAUGCUGCCUCCCGUAGGAGUCUGGGCCGUGUCUCAGUCCCAGUGUGGCUGAUCAUCCUCUCAGACCAGCUACGGAUCGUCGCCUUGGUGAGCCGUUACCUCACCAACCAGCUAAUCCGACAUAGGCUCAUCCGAUAGCGCGAGGCCCGAAGGUCCCCCGCUUUCCCCCGUAGGGCGUAUGCGGUAUUAGCCUGGGUUUCCCCAGGUUAUCCCCCACUACCGGGCAGAUUCCUAUGCAUUACUCACCCGUCCGCCGCUCGCCACCAGGGAGCAAGCUCCCCGUGCUGCCGCUCGACUUGCAUGUGUUAGGCCUGCCGCCAGCGUUCAAUCUGAGCCAGAAUCAAACUCUGA